rnacentral:rRNA from 1 species
UACGUAGGUGGCAAGCGUUGUCCGGAUUUAUUGGGCGUAAAGCGCGCGCAGGCGGUUUCUUAAGUCUGAUGUGAAAUCCCCGGGCUUAACCUGGGAACUGCGUUUGAAACUGGAAGGCUAGAGUGUGGCAGAGGGGGGUGGAAUUCCACGUGUAGCAGUGAAAUGCGUAGAUAUGUGGAGGAACACCGAUGGCGAAGGCAGCCCCCUGGGCUAACACUGACGCUCAUGCACGAAAGCGUGGGGAGCAAACAGG